UCAAUACGCAAAUACUGAAAACUUUGAAACCUUUAUGUAUUUACCCAAAAACCGAUCGUGAAACCUCUAGCGUGCCCUCUCCUUGUCCUGCAGCCUCUUGAGAACAUUUCCACUUUCUUUCUCUCUCUAACUUUUUUAGUUUCAAUGGCGGCAAGGAAUGCAUUGCUGAAGUACCUGAGAGUGGAAGCUCGGCCUGCAGCAGUGGGAAACCCCAGAAGGCUCAUCGGAGCAGCAUUUACCCAGGUAUUCAGACGCCACAACUUUUUGAGUUUCAAUGGCGGCGAGGAAUGCAUUGCUGAAGUACCUGAGAGUGGAAGCUCGGCCUGCAGCAGUGGGAAACCCCAGAAGGCUCGUGGGAGCAGCAUUUACCCGGGUAUUCAGACGCCAUUUCUCGGAGGAAGUGAGGGGCUCCUUUCUCGACAAGUCUGAAGUCACUGAUCGUGU
rnacentral:lncRNA from 1 species